UUAUUAAUAUGUCGGAUACUAUUUUUAUACCUAUUUACAAGUUCGUUUUACUAUUAUGAAUGUAUGAAGCAGGCGUAUUUAUUAAAGAUCAAACUAUAAACGACAUUUUUCAACACUUUAGAAAGGCCUGCGACUUUAUGGGCUUUUUCAGCGCAACACAGUUGACGGUAUUUUUUGACUGGCAUCACUGUGACAUAAUGCGGUCGGUUGGAAGGUGGGCGGCAGACAACAACGGUCAACAAACGACCGAUAACAUAUUUCCAGCGUCGUGGAAAGCAACCAUCAAAGUAGAACAUUAAAUAGAUUUACGGCGCAGGUUUUCCUUUAAAUGCUCCCAUCGGACGAUUAGUGGAGCGAUUAACGGCGAGCGGCUCGCUGGACAACAACACUAAUUCGAUUCCGAUCGGCGAACGGCGAGGGCAGUAUGGCGCUAAGCUCAUAACAAGGUAAUUGCAUGGCAGGGGUCUGUGGGGAGCGAUCGACCGUGUGGGGGGAGCUUUGGGAUGCAUUUUGGUUAGAUUGGAUUUCGAAAUGCUUGCGUUGUCAACAUGCUAUUGUCACGCACAGAAAGAAGACGAAUCAAAAAUCGCGUGUGUUUCGCAACUUUACUUCUCGCUCCAUUGUUGUCGGCGGCACUCUUUGUGAUCUAACGAUUGAGCAUUGUGACCAGGAAGCGUCACAUUUAAAGGAAAUGCAAUCUGUCCACCAGACUUUUGUUCAAAGGUGUGAAAGUGGAAGUGCCUCGUUUGCUUCCAAGCCAGAUGCAGACACUCAAUUACGUCGUAAUGCUCUUUGUUACGUCACAACGCAACUUCGACGCAUUGAAACUAGAAAAAACGCGCAGCUGCAAAAAUCGGUGCUUAAUUACCGACAACAUAGCGGCAAUCGCAGAAUUCGUGUCGGAUUCCGAGGUAAAAAAUGAGCAGCGUAAACACAACGGGGUGCCGACCGUAGAUCAUUGGCUACACCGCAGGUCGCUGUAAGGUUUCCACGCAAGUGCUGUCCACCAUCAAUCAAUGUCAGAUUGCCAACCCCGCGGCGGAAGAACGCGCGAGAAUCACGACACAAUAUAGUUUAAUUAAGUCAACCGGUGAAACGGCAUUUGAGGUUAUGCGGUAAGAAAAUAUAUGUCAAAUAUGCCUCGUGCGACGCGAUAAUGACUCAAACGGAAGCGGAAUGUGAUUUAUCUGUUCCAAACUACACCGGAAUAUUUUGAGUGCUCGGCGUGGAGAUUGCGUAUGGAAAAAUAAUUGUUGUUGUAUAAGGUUUGGUCGUCAUAUUCGGGAAACCUAGUUACCGAACGCUACUCCCAAGCUGGCGGUGACGUAAUCGCAUUGUGAAACAAUAUGCUUUGUUUGACGUUAAUCAACGGCCGCGUGGCCAAUAAUAGGUAAUGAGCAUCGGCACAAGGUGGGGCCGGUAUUGUUGGAAAAUCGAUGUCAUAAUACGAUACAGGACGCAUGCAGAUGUGCUGGCAUACGAAGGCCGCGUGUUGCAGCGAUAAGAGGCUAAUGUAGCCAACUGCGGCCAGCACGCGGGAUAAUUUUAGACCUAACAAGCACUUUUAAGCGAAAUGGCAAAUCGCAUAGGAAACACAACGACGACGAAGCGCAAUUUUGAAAGGAAUGUAGCGGUCCUUAUAUAAACAACAACGAAUCGUUUUGAUGUUGACAUUUCAACAAAGAGCCAGCAGGUUAAAUUUCUGAACAAAUGAGUGUUAAGAUACAAAAACUAAAAACUUUCCACGAAAUUCGAAAAAAUUUAACAAAUAUUUUAAGAAUGAACGAACCCACAUCUGCAUUCCAUUACGACCAACGCACCGUAUUCGACCACAGCCACACCUAAUAUCACGAAAUAUACGAAACAUUGGCAUGUGUUAUUUCACGCCGCGACGACUCAGGUAACGUUGACAGUCCGCCGUGACGUUGCGCUGACGUGGUACACCGUUGCGCCAAACGCCACCUGAAAAUCUGUAACAACUUUGGGUGGGCGCAGUUGACCGGAACAUAACUAUAUGAUAGAAGGAGAGGUACAUCACAACGGUAUGUUUGAUAAAGGCUCAUUUAGUUACCAGCACACGUCGAAGUUGAUUCUUUAAAUAUUUAGAAUUUUUUGUCCAACGAAAAUAACCGCGUUGAGAGAGCUAGCAAUAAACAACAGUUAUCUUUUAAGCCAAUUACUGCUGCGUGCACGUGUUGAGGUAUAAUUAUUGGAUGAUAUAUAGGUAGUGUAGAGGCAAAUUACAAAUUCGGAAUUGUUUGUGAUUCGUCGAACGGAAA